ensembl:lncRNA
GCCGAGCCGAGCGGGGCCGAGCCGAGCCGAGCCGAGCCGAGCCGAGCCGAGCCGAACCGAGCCCAGCCCGCCGCCCCGCCCCGCUCCGCCCGCCGCGGCACGGGGGGGGAAUUCCCGCAGGCGCGGCAGUUCAGCACCGCAGCGCGUACGCGGAUCUCCCGCAGCCGGCCGAGAACGACCCCUCCCGGUAAUGACCCCCCCCGCCGUUAUCCCGCAGGCGGGUGCAGGUGGAGGUCGAGAUCUCCCGACGAGGGACGUGCUCUGCCAGCCGGGAGCCCCGGGACACGAACCAUUCCAGCGCAGAAAAUGCCCUGGGAAAGUCUUUUCCCGGCUGGAGGUGGGGCUGCGGGGGAACAGGCUGGCCCUGUCCACGCGUUUUGCCGACAGGAUGCUUCGCUCCAGCGUGAGCAGGAUGCAGAACAACACAUCCUCCCUGGCUGGGAGGGGAAGAGUCGCCAGCGGAAACACCAUCACUUGCACAGCGUGACCUUAGCACCUCCCUGCCUCUGGGCUCCUGUGACAGAAAAAAAAAAAAAAAAAAAAAAAAAAAAAAAAAAAAAAAAACCAAAAAAAAAACAACAAAAAAAAAAAAAAAAAAACAUAAUACUUGCCUACUGUAAAGCAAAAUUGAGUCUGUUUCUUAAAAUUCGUGUGCCCCAGUGCCUCAGUUUCACAGAGGAACCACCGAUUCCUGUGAACACAGUGUUUUUGCAUUGUAACUGACAAGCAGAAGCAGAACUGAGAGCCCUCCAGGCUUUAGCCAACUUCAGCCAGAGAUCUUCAAACUGUACCGGAUUAUUAGGAUCACAGUACAGAAGUGACUCAGUGGUACCUGUAUUCCCACCUUCUAAUCCCAAGAUUUAAGGUCUUCGGGACACUUCAAAGCUCUUUCAGUACCCUUCAGGACCUGGUCUAGUGGGCAGCAUCCCUGCCCAUGGUAGAACUAGGUUAUCUUUAAGGUUCCUUCUGGGGGGGUUGGAAAUAUUGAUCUUUAAAGUCCCUUCCAAACCAGCCCUUCCAGCCUGAGGCCGGCAUCCCUCUAGUUCUUCUCCGUGGGUCAUUCGUGGACAUUCCUGGGUCCUCUCCUCAGCUCCUGAUUCCUUCCCCUCACAGUAUCCUUGUCCAGAUGCUGGUCACGCAUGGGGUGCUCUUAGAUAUUCUGAGUGCAAUAUCAUCAUGCUAUUAAGGCUGAAAAUCACUGGAUUCUCCAACGAAUGUGUCUCCCCGCUGUAAGACUGCCAAUCUGCCCUGUACUGCUGAGUCACCAGCAUGCUUUCCUUGGAAAGAAGGAAUUGACAGUUUCCAGACUCACUUCUGUGACCCUCUUGAUAUUUGUUGUUUCUGUUAUGUUGAGCACAGCAUGGAAAGAAUAGUCUGACAAAUAAACAUGUUCCUGCAGGAAUGCUCCCUGAAACAAUGCAGUGUUAAAGACUGUUUUCCAAGAAAGAGGGCUCCAUUUCCCCCUAUUCAUCCUGCCAGACAGAUCCAUGUAAAGUUUUCUCCUUAUCUUCGAGGCUGAAGUUCCUCUUCACAAGGUUGACUGGCACAGGGCCUGGGGAUGCAGAUGUUGUAGACUGAGUCAGACUAAUGCCAAUAAACAGCCACUUUGGAUGCCAGCAGCUCUGCCCUUCGCUCUUCCCAUCCCUCUGGGAGUCCUGCCUGGGACGCUCAUGCUUUCCCUGUCUCCCCAUCUCACCCAAAGUCACCCCUGAGCAUGGGGGUGUCAGGUACUUACCUUCCCUGGGCACAGAUUCAGGUGAAUCCAGCAUGCUGCCAUGAUAAACAGUGAUUUAAAAAUCAGUAACACAGGAACUAGUCUUAAAUUAUGCUAUUUUAGUUAAUUUUUCAUGCAAGUGCUUAGCAUUGAAAAAGCCUUUCUAAGUUUCAUCUUUCAUCUAUGUUACUGAGCCCCAGAGGAGGUAGGAUGGAGCCAGGGAUAUUUCUUUGUGAAAGAAUGACAUGUUGGUUGCAUUUAAGCCAGAACAGAAGUAAAUUAAACAUCUAGACCAUAAAAAUACCAGAGGAUGUUUUAAAACAGGUUCUUUGCAGCUGAUGGUAGAGCCUGACUGUGUAAUGAGUAAUAUAUUAAUUUAUAAUUAGCAUGGUACAGUGAAGCUCAGCAAAUAGCUCUGUGCACUCUGGAUAAUUCAUCAACAGAAGGAGUGGUUCUUAAUGGUUUCCAAGGUUUGUAUGUCCCUUGUAAUUGGGAAGUUCAGCAUUUAUUGUUAUUUCUUCUAAGGGAUAAUUUGAUUGCAACCACACAUCUUUAUUCCCUGUCUGUUUCUGCUGGAGUGCAGAGAAGGCUUUGGAGCACUGCUCCUCUGGGUAUGUCUGUGACCUCUCUGCAGGUGAGUACAUCAGUGUUUUGCAGAGCAGAUGACCUGGAUUUGGUGCAGAUUCUCAGAGGGUUUUACCCUUUUCCUCCUGCAAAGGAGAGGGGGGAAGGGGGCACAUUAACCUCCUUGGGUCACUUAGCUUUUCCCCUCCGCGGCUUCAAAGUCUUCCAUACAAUUUUCAUAUCUCCCAAGGGGUCUUCAUUCACAAUUCUGCUCUCAAAAUCGUCAUGAGCUUCCUGGUCCCAUUUAAUAUUACCUGACAGUAGAAAUACAGAAGAAGAAUAAAUGCUUAACAGUAACACUUACUGGAAUUUAUGGAGCCUUUGGGGGACUUUUCAAUUUGGAAGCUCAGACCCACUUUCCAGAGGAUCCAGGGAGCAGGACUUCCCCCUGCUUUUGCAGCAGUGCCCAGGCUUCCCAGAGAUCCUCUCCCUGGACUGCUGUUUUGACAGGCUGGGAAUCUACUGAAAUGCCCUGUUGUCAGCAAAACUUUUGGAAAAGGGAACAAAAUCCUUGGAGGUAGGUACUUGGUGCUGAGGCAGCCUGGAGGCACUGGGGCCUCAUCAGAUGAGGGGAAUAAAUAAACUUGAAUCUUAAUUCAGUGAUCCACUGAAAAUAGGGUGUGAUAUAUCUUCCCCAGGAAUAAAAUGUCAGGAGUUCUGCUUUUUGCAGCUUUAAUAAAAUAAUUUGUACCCUUCUGCCUAUUAGCAGCUGCAGAUAAGUUUACUGCACUGAGCAUUUGAAGCCUGCUGACAUGUCCAUCUGCCUUUGCAUAACCAUUUGCCCCUAACCCUUUUUGUACCUCAAACCCCAAUCCAUGAGUUUUCUCUCCAAAAAAGAAAAAAAGCUGGUUGCUGACCUGGAAGGUACAGAAGGAUUCCAGGUGUGUGUGUGACAGAUUUAUUACACGGGAGCAGGAUUUAUCACUAAGGAUACAUCAGGAAAUGUUUCGAGGGUUUUCUUGGGCAGUUCCUUUGCUUUCCAGACUUGGCUUGUUGUGGAAACUGGAAACUUGGGUCCCUUCAUGCAGUAAAGUCUGGGCUGCUUGAGGAGUCACAGCCAGGGAAGAGAGCAAGGCUGAAGGCUGCUGCUGAACACUUAAUAAGAAGUCAGGAUGAUGAUGAGAAGGAAUUUCUGUGUUACUUCCAGCUGAAUUUAAAUUAAACCAGUUUUACUGAAGUCUUAAUUCCUCCCUUGCAUUUAACACUGUGAUCUGGAAAGCAACAAGUUUAUAUUUCUGCAUCAUUACAUCAAUAAAGAGCUAGAGUUUUGUAGGCUUCCUUAUUAAAUAAUCUGGCCUAAUUUAAUUGGAAUUUGGCUGGUAUGGAAAAUAGCUCUGAUUUAAUUUUCUCUUGAUCGUUCCACUAAAACUUUGUGAUCUGAAAGUAGUAUGUUUGUAUUUACUUAUCACAGCACUAGAGACCUGUAUUGGCAGGCUCUCGAUCAAAUUACCUGAUGAAUAUAAACAGCAGAUUUAAUUUAGUUUCAGAUUGAUUUUUGUCAUUAUUAUUAAAACCCUCUGAUCUGAAGAAUGGGAUGCUUGUAUUUCCUUAAUAUCUUAUUACUGGGGUUUGGGUUAAUCUUGUAGAGCUUUUCCUUUUUCUUUUGAUUAACCAAGUCUAACUAAUUGGAAUUUAACAUAUGGCAAUUUUGACUCUAUAAAGGAGGGAAAGGAACUCAAUUUCCUGGGAC